GAUGAACGCUGGCGGCGUGCCUAGCACAUGCAAGUCGAGCGAUUCUCUUCGGAGAAGAGCGGCGGACGGGUGAGUAACGCGUGGGUAACCUGCCCUGUACACACGGAUAACAUACCGAAAGGUAUGCUAAUACGAGAUAAUAUACUUUUAUCGCAUGGUAGAAGUAUCAAAGCUUUUGCGGUACAGGAUGGACCCGCGUCUGAUUAGCUAGUUGGUAAGGUAACGGCUUACCAAGGCGACGAUCAGUAGCCGACCGGAGAGGGUGAUCGGCCACAUUGGAACUGAGGCACGGUCCAAACUCCUACGGGAGGCAGCAGUGGGGAAUAUUGCACAAUGGGCGAAAGCCUGAUGCAGCAACGCCGCGUGAGCGAUGAAGGCCUUCGGGUCGUAAAGCUCUGUCCUCAAGGAAGAUAAUGACGGUACUUGAGGAGGAAGCCCCGGCUAACUACGUGCCAGCCGCCGCGGUAA
rnacentral:rRNA from 1 species